rnacentral:rRNA from 1 species
AAACUCACCAGGUCAGGACACGGUAAGGAUUGACGGACUGAAGGCUCUUUCUCGAUUCCGUGGAAAGUGGUGCAUGGCUGUUUUGGUUGGUGGAUCGAUCCGUCUGGUUAAUUCCGUUAACGAACGAGACCUCGGCACUCCGAAUAGCGCGGCGGACGUCGCGGCCUCCGGGCCGUCUUCCGCACGAGCUUCUUAGAGGGACCGUCCCCGCCGGGGAAGGAGGUGCGAGGCAACGACAGGUCUGUGAUGCCCUUAGAUGUUCUGGGCCGCACGCGCAUUACACUGACGCGUCCAACGGGUGACUCCCGACCCGAAGGGGCCGGGGAAUCCGCAAGGCGCGUCGUGAUGGGGAUUGAACGUUGCAAUUGUUGUUCACGAACGAGGAAUUCCUAGUAGGCGCGGGUCAUCAA